rnacentral:rRNA from 1 species
GACGUAGGGGGCAAGCGUUGUCCGGAAUCAUUGGGCGUAAAGAGCGUGUAGGCGGCUCGGUAAGUCCGCUGUAAAAGUCCAGGGCUCAACCCUGGAAAGCCGGUGGAAACUGUCGAGCUAGAGUCCGGAAGAGGCGAGUGGAAUUCCUGGUGUAGCGGUGAAAUGCGCAGAUAUCAGGAGGAACACCAAUGGCGAAGGCAGCUCGCUGGGACGGUACUGACGCUGAGACGCGAAAGCGUGGGGAGCAAACAGG